rnacentral:rRNA from 1 species
AUACGGAGGGUGCAAGCGUUAAUCGGAAUUACUGGGCGUAAAGCGCGCGUAGGCGGUUUGAUAAGUCGGAUGUGAAAUCCCCGGGCUCAACCUGGGAAUUGCAUUCGAUACUGUCAGGCUAGAGUGUGGUAGAGGGAAGUGGAAUUUCCGGUGUAGCGGUGAAAUGCGUAGAUAUCGGAAGGAACACCAGUGGCGAAGGCGGCUUCCUGGACCAAUACUGACGCUGAGGUGCGGAAGCGUGGGGAGCAAACAGGAUUAGAAACCCUAGUAGUCC